rnacentral:piRNA from 1 species
UUGCACUGUGUCAUACAUCCUCUUGGUC